UGUUCCCGGACACUUCUUUCGGAACCAAUGAUAUUGGGAAAGUGGUGAGUGCCGGUGUGUGUGUUGGGGGUAUGGUGAAGGCUGAAGAGGGUGGGGCCCAUGAUAGGUGGUUGAUAUUGCCUUUUUUUUUAUACUUGUCUAAGUAGGUUUCACGUUAUUGUUCCUUAUAGCACAGUUUUGCCACUUUAGAAUCCUUGGUGUCUUUUUGUGUUUCUUUAUGAGUGUCUGUGGGUUUAGACUUGGCAGUGAUAGCGCAGGUGUGUUAGGGGGAAUAAAUAACAAGUAGUCUGCCACUCACCCAAGAAAUGAUUGAAGAAGAAAGGCUGUGUCUGCAGAUUGACUACACAAAUAAUUAUCACUCUCUCUCUCCCAGUCAAUUGCUGAGAUGUUGACUCACAUUACCUUUUGACUUCUUUGAUUUUCAAUUUCUAAAUGAUUUGAAGCAAUCGGUGUGUCAUGUACUUGCGACAGUGUACUCACAGUCUCGAUGAACCGUCUGUCUUCAUUAUCAGACGUCGAAUAACCAACCAUGGCAUGAAAAACACAUUUGAUUGUGACAUUGGUUAAGCCUAUAUUGACCUACAAGAGACCCCUCCCUCGACUGGCCUGGGGGUUUCGGAAGUGUUUGCGGUAGACAAUGAGAUCAGCGGUAAUUAUGGAGAAUGUGCGUCUUCUGUGGAUAGGCACCAACUUGCCUUCUUGGAAGGCAUUGCGGAGCGCGGCACUUCCGACCCAUAGCCUAUUGGUGUGCGGUCCAUAAAAGAAAACCCUCGAGGCGCAGGGCAGGCAGGCUAAAGAUAUAGACGGGGAAUAGGCACGAGGAGAUGAGAGGAUAUUGAUCGGCAACAACUCGACGUGGACCGUUCAACACAUGCAGUCACAAAAGAGGAAAGAAAGGUGACAAGGAAAAGAGCUGCCACUGAGAGAAAGAAGAGAAGCGGGAGAGUGAGUGUGUGAAUUGUGAAGCUGGACUGGAAGAGAUGCCAGGAGCCCUGGGUCUGGGAAUCACACACACAUCAAACACAGUAUGAAGCUGCCUAGACGUGAUGACAGCGCUGCUAUACAGACUGGCCUUGCAGAAAAACUCCCCUCUUUGCCCAGUCAGGAUUACUUACUGCAAGGGUCUUAACCAGCAGUACUCCAUCUCAGAGGCUAAAAACAGACACGGAGAAACCCUUAACAAGGCCUUAUUAGAUUACUAGUGAUCCUCAGCUGGAUGUGUUUAAAUGAGUCACAAGCUCCCAGGUAUUCAGUGACAAGAGACGGCGGUCUUUGCUUGGACUGUGCCAAGCAAGGUUGGCCAUUUUUGGGUCCUUGUGGACGGAUGGGCAGACGUGUCGGUGUCUGUCAGCUGCUCAGUAGUCAGUGUAGAUCCUGUGGGGCAGUCAGCAGCUACAUCUGGCUACUGGGUCGCUGAUGGCUGCCGUGUUCUUCAUGUCUCAAAUAUUGUGAUUAUGAUUUAGUAUAUGUUGUAUUCUAAAUGUACAUACAGCCAUCUUUACUUCAGUUUGCUGGUAGGUUGUUGACCUGGCAUACAGUGUAGAAUUCUGUGUGGGUGAUUCUACAGCUACAUUGUCUGCUGGGUUUUAGGCCCUACUCAAAUAAUCACUCACUUAAUCUCACGGUAAGUAUUUUCUCCCAAUUCAGAGACCGUGUGACAAUGCUUUUUCAUCAAAUAAAUACAAGUUAUAAAAGCAGAGUUGUGAUUUCUAAUGAGGUCCGCUGUAUUUGGAUUGUUUUUUUUUGUCUAGAAAGAACAAUAUUUCACCGUGGCCUUGAAAUGUACAUUGUCUUAGAAGUUGCAGCACAAAACAAUUCAUUAUUUCUGCAGACAUACUGUACGCACACACUGGUGAAAGUAAUUACAUUCAUGGAUUAUUUGACAAUUGUGUUUAAUGACUCAUCAUAAAACAUUCUUCAAAACAAUAAAACAAUUUUAAAUGUCA